AUGGAGACCACCCAGAGCCGCGCAGGAGAUCCAGCCUCAGAGAAGGCAUUGGUUUCUGACUUUGCCAAACCCAGGCGGAGAGUCUCCCCAGGAAGAAAUCAACUUUUUCUCCCAGAAGUCUCCCAACCUUUCACAAAAAUAUAAAACCGUCUGGAAAAUGAAGCAUCUACCUGGACGGAGGGACACAGUUGAAAAUAAAAGAUUUGUUAGCAAUAGAAUUCAAAGGACGAAAGAAUCUGUGUGAUGCUACAGAUGAAAGCUCUACCCAGAGAGAGACAGAACAUGAACGGGGGAGGAGCAGAGAGAGAGGGAGAC